GAUGAACGCUAGCGGCAAGCUUAAUACAUGCAAGUCGAGGGGCAGCACGGGAGCAAUCCUGGUGGCGACCGGCAAACGGGUGCGGAACACGUACGCAACCUUCCCAUAACUGGUGAAUAGCCUUUCGAAAGAGAGAUUAAUACACCGUAACAUAAUGAAGUGGCAUCACUUUAUUAUUAUAGGCAGCAAUGUCGGUUUUGGUAGUGGGCGGUGCGCCUGAUUAGGUA
rnacentral:rRNA from 1 species